rnacentral:rRNA from 1 species
AGCGAACGCUGGCGGCAGGCUUAACACAUGCAAGUCGAGCGGGCAUAGCAAUAUGUCAGCGGCAGACGGGUGAGUAACGCGUGGGAACGUACCUUUUGGUUCGGAACAACUGAGGGAAACUUCAGCUAAUACCGGCUAAGCCCUUACGGGGAAAGAUUUAUCGCCGAAAGAUCGGCCCGCGUCUGAUUAGCUAGUUGGUGAGGUAAUGGCUCACCAAGGCGACGAUCAGUAGCUGGUCUGAGAGGAUGAUCAGCCACAUUGGUACUGAGACACGGCCCAAACUCCUACGGGAGGCAGCAGUGGGGAAUAUUGGACAAUGGGGGCAAGCCUGAUCCAGCCAUGCCGCGUGAGUGAUGAAGGCCCUAGGGUUGUAAAGCUCUUUUGUGCGGGAAGAUAAUGACGGUACCGCAAGAAUAAGCCCCGGCUAACUUCGUG